rnacentral:rRNA from 1 species
GCUAACUUGCCGACGACCGGCGCGACGGGUGAGUAACGCGUAUCCAACCUUCCCCUUAGUAGGGCACAGCCCGUAGAAAUGCGGAUUAAUACCCUAUGUUAUUCGUCGAGGACAUCUGGAGUGAAUCAAAGGUUUACCGCUAAGGGAUGGGGAUGCGUCUGAUUAGGCAGCAGGCGGGGUAACGGCCCACCUGGCCGACGAUCAGUAGGGGUUCUGAGAGGAAGGUCCCCCACAUUGGAACUGAGACACGGUCCAAACUCCUACGGGAGGCAGCAGUGAGGAAUAUUGGUCAAUGGUCGAGAGACUGAACCAGCCAAGUAGCCGUGCAGGAUGACGGCCCUAUGGGUUGUAAACUGCUUUUAUGCGGGGAUAAAGUGAGGGACGUGUCCCUUUUUGUAGGUACCGCAUGAAUAAGGACCGGCUAAUUCCGUGCCAGCCGCUGC